rnacentral:rRNA from 1 species
CAACUCUCAACAACGGAUAUCUUGGCUCCCGUAUCGAUGAAGAACGCAGCGAAAUGCGAUACGUAGUGUGAAUUGCAGAAUUCCGUGAACCAUCGAAUCUUUGAACGCAAAUUGCGCCCGCGGCUCCGGCCAAGGGCAUGUCUGCCUCAGCGUCGGCGUACCCCCCUCGCCCCCCUUCCCCUGUGGGGCGGACCUGG